rnacentral:rRNA from 1 species
UACGGGGGGAGCAAGCGUUGUUCGGAUUUACUGGGCGUAAAGCGCGUGUAGGCGGCUACGCAAGUCGGAUGUGAAAUCCCGUGGCUCAACCACGGAAGUGCACCCGAAACUGCGCAGCUUGAGUCUCGGAGAGGAAGGUGGAAUGCUUGGUGUAGAGGUGAAAUUCGUAGAUAUCAAGCGGAACACCGGUGGCGAAGGCGGCCUUCUGGACGAUGACUGACGCUGAGACGCGAAAGCGUGGGGAGCAAACAGG